UAAGGAAUAUUGGUCAAUGGACGCAAGUCUGAACCAGCCAUGCCGCGUGGAGGAUGAAGGCCCUCUGGGUUGUAAACUUCUUUUAUUGGGGAAGAAAUCGGUGUUUUCUAAUGCCGUUGACGGUACCCAUUGAAUAAGCACCGGCUAACUCCGUGCCAGCAGCCGCGGUAAUACGGAGGGUGCAAGCGUUAUCCGGAUUCACUGGGUUUAAAGGGUGCGUAGGUGGGCAGGUAAGUCAGUGGUGAAAUCUCUAAGCUUAACUUAGAAACUGCCGUUGAUACUAUCUGUCUUGAAUGUAGUGGAGGUGAGCGGAAUAUGUCAUGUAGCGGUGAAAUGCUUAGAGAUGACAUAGAACACCAAUUGCGAAGGCAGCUUGCUACACUACGAUUGACACUGAGGCACGAAAGCGUGGGGAUCAAACAGGAUUAGAUACCCGCGUAGUCC
rnacentral:rRNA from 1 species